AUUGAACGCUGGCGGAAUGCUUUACACAUGCAAGUCGAACGGCAGCACGGGGGCAGCCCUGGUGGCGAGUGGCGAACGGGUGAGUAAUACAUCGGAACGUGCCCGGUCGUGGGGGAUAACGUAGCGAAAGUUGCGCUAAUACCGCAUACGAUCUGAGGAUGAAAGCGGGGGACCUUCGGGCCUCGCGCGAUCGGAGCGGCCGAUGUCAGAUUAGGUAGUUGGUGGGGUAAAGGCCUACCAAGCCGACGAUCUGUAGCUGGUCUGAGAGGACGACCAGCCACACUGGGACUGAGACACGGCCCAGACUCCUACGGGAGGCAGCAGUGGGGAAUUUUGGACAAUGGGCGCAAGCCUGAUCCAGCCAUUCCGCGUGCAGGACGAAGGCCUUCGGGUUGUAAACUGCUUUUGUACGGAACGAAAAGGCUCUGGCUAAUACCUGGGGCUCAUGACGGUACCGUAAGAAUAAGCACCGGCUAACUACGUG
rnacentral:rRNA from 1 species